UACAGAGGAGCCAAGCGUUGUCCGGAUUGACUGGGCGUAAAGCGCACGUAGGCGGAUGUGUCAGUCAGGGGUGAAAUCCCGGAGCUCAACUUCGGAACUGCCCUUGAUACAGCACGUCUUGAGUCCGGAAGAGGUGGGUGGAAUUCCUAGUGUAGAGGUGAAAUUCGUAGAUAUUAGGAAGAACACCGGUGGCGAAGGCGGCCCACUGGUCCGGUACUGACGCUGAGGUGCGAAAGCGUGGGGAGCAAACAGG
rnacentral:rRNA from 1 species